UUUAGCGAGGUCGUCAGACCUGCUCUGAGCUGUGCGGGUGUGAUAACAGCUUGUUUCUUUGUUGAUCUCAUUAAGCGUCCUCCAUCUUUACAGGACUCGUUGAGCUCGUUAUGCGCAGUAGCUCGUUAAGAGAUCAAACUCUUUGUUUGUUGUUGUUUGUUUGGCUCUCGGACGAGUUCGUCCCCAGAUUAGCAUCAGAGAGGCUAACGAGAGCAGCUAAUUACCCUGAGAGUGUGAUGGACGGUUGGACUGAUGAAUAUGGAUGUGCGUGCUUCUCGAGGUGCUAAUGAGGCCUCGCAGCUCCGCCCACCCGCAGCUCUGACAGGAAAUGGUUGUGUGAACAUCAAAGAGGAACUUUCUGUUUAAUUCAACUUUUUUAUGACCUGAUUUAUUCUGAGAACUUCAGACUUUAUUUCAAGUUUAUUUCAAACUUUGAUUCAGCUUUAAUUUAACGAUCAAUCAGCUGCUCAUUAAGCCCUCGCCCUCUGAGCUGCCUCUGAUCGGCCAAUCAGGACGAGCGUGUUGUUUUAACUGCUCAGACCUGCUUCAGGAGGUUUACUGUAAACAGACGAGCUGAACUGUGGAGCCUCAUCACAGCUCCACACUCAAAGGAGCCACUCAGUAAGUAAGUAACACGUCUUUAGCUGUGUCCGAAUUCAGGGGAAGGAUCCUCCGAAGGACGUAUUUGGAGGCAAUGAUGUCACAGCGAAGUGACGGAGGCUGUCCGAAUUCAAAGAGUCCUUCGAAUGUGGCAACAAAUGCGUCCUACUUUUCCCCAAAUUUGAAGGAUGGGUCCGAUGUAUCCUUCGUGUCCUACCAUAUCCCAGGAUUCAUUGCGGGCCAUACAGGAGAUUUUUUUUCUGAGAACGAUGGUGGUCGAGGCGGGAGAGGAAACACUUUCAAAUGACAAUUCUGGAGAAGAUGGGCCUGCAGGGGAAAGUCACCACCUGCAGGCCAGAAGACAUGAGAUAACUUUAAAGAAUACAAAGAUUGCAAGUAUCCAGGCUCAGGAGAGGGGGUCAGUGGGAAGCCCACUGCUGCUACUUGGCCCUGGUUUGCCCUCAUGGAUGAGGUGAUAGGACAGAGGCCUUCCAUUAAGCCUCUUGUCCAAAUGUCCUCUCUCCCUGAGGACACUCCAGGGCCAAGCACAGCAGUGGGUGACCAAAACGACAGCGAUGACGAAGCGGCUCAGCCACCUACGACAGGGAGAAAGAGGAAAAGAGAUGAUGAGCUGCUAGACCUCAUCAGAGAGGACAUGAGGCAGCAAAGAGAGGCUGAGGAGAGGAGAGCAGGGAGAGGAUGGACAGACUGUUUUCACUUCUAGAAAGAUUAGUUCCCAAAUGAGUUUUGUAUUGAGAAAUUUAUUUAUUUGAAUAUAUUUGUUACAUUGUUACAUGUGUUGCAUUAGUUUAAAGGUUUUAUGUUAUUAAUAAA